UGGGGAAUUUUGGACAAUGGGGGAAACCCUGAUCCAGCCAUCCCGCGUGUGCGAUGAAGGCCUUCGGGUUGUAAAGCACUUUUGGCAGGAAAGAAACGUCAUGGGUUAAUACCCCGUGAAACUGACGGUACCUGCAGAAUAAGCACCGGCUAACUACGUGCCAGCAGCCGCGGUAAUACGUAGGGUGCAAGCGUUAAUCGGAAUUACUGGGCGUAAAGCGUGCGCAGGCGGUUCGGAAAGAAAGAUGUGAAAUCCCAGAGCUCAACUUUGGAACUGCAUUUUUAUCUACCGGGCUAGAGUGUGUCAGAGGGAGGUGGAAUUCCGCGUGUAGCAGUGAAAUGCGUAGAUAUGCGGAGGAACACCGAUGGCGAAGGCAGCCUCCUGGUAUAACACUGACGCUCAUGCACGAAAGCGUGGGGAGCAAACAGG
rnacentral:rRNA from 1 species